rnacentral:ncRNA from 1 species
CCAGUAGUUAUAUGCUGUCUCAAAGAUAAGCCAUGCAUGUCUAAGUACACACGAAUAAAAGUGAAACCGCAAAAGGCUCAUAUAUCAGUUAUGUUCUUAGAUCGUUAACAGUUACUUGGAUAACUGUGGUAAUUCUAGAGCUAAUACAUGCAAUUAAAACAUGAACUUAUGGGACAUGUGCUUUUAUUAGGCUAAAACCAAGCGAUCGCAAGAUCGUUAUAUUGGUUGAACUCUAGAUAACAUGCAGAUCGUAUGGUCUUGUACCGACGACAGAUCUUUCAAAUGUCUGCCCUAUCAACUUUUGAUGGUAGUAUCUAGGACUACCAUGGUUGCAACGGGUAACGGGGAAUCAGGGUUCGAUUCCGGAGAGGGAGCCUGAGAAACGGCUACCACAUCUAAGGAAGGCAGCAGGCGCGUAAAUUACCCACUCCCAGCUCGGGGAGGUAGUGACGAAAAAUAACAAUACAGGACUCAUAUCCGAGGCCCUGUAAUUGGAAUGAGUACACUUUAAAUCCUUUAACAAGGACCAAUUGGAGGGCAAGUCUGGUGCCAGCAGCCGCGGUAAUUCCAGCUCCAAUAGCGUAUAUUAAAGUUGUUGCGGUUAAAACGUUCGUAGUUGAACUUGUGCUUCAUACGGGUAGUACAACUUACAAUUGUGGUUAGUACUAUACCUUUAUGUAUGUAAGCGUAUUACCGGUGGAGUUCUUAUAUGUGAUUAAAUACUUGUAUUUUUUCAUAUGUUCCUCCUAUUUAAAAACCUGCACUAGUGCUCUUAAACGAGUGUUAUUGUGGGCCGGUACUAUUACUUUGAACAAAUUAGAGUGCUUAAAGCAGGCUUCAAAUGCCUGAAUAUUCUGUGCAUGGGAUAAUGAAAUAAGACCUCUGUUCUGCUUUCAUUGGUUUUCAGAUCAAGAGGUAAUGAUUAAUAGAAGCAGUUUGGGGGCAUUAGUAUUACGACGCGAGAGGUGAAAUUCUUGGACCGUCGUAAGACUAACUUAGAAUCCACCACAGUGGCG